CAAUUAAGACUAAACGAAGGAAG
rnacentral:piRNA from 1 species